rnacentral:lncRNA from 1 species
UUUUAUACUCCAUUGCCACGUUCUGAGGUUCUUCUGUGGGGCUGACAUGGGCAGUGGAGUGAAUGAGAACUUGCCGGUUCCACUGCAUGUGCCCUGGGUUGGGAUGGAGUCAUUAACAUAGGUUGUAGGUCUGUUUUAUGCUUUGAGUUCUUGGUGGAAUGACUCAGGAAAAAUAUGUAUUGGUUUUAUUAAUAGCUAGUCACCCCAGUGGAAGCUGAGAUUCAUCUCUGACUUUCUGAAUUGCAUGAGAAGUUAAAUCGCAGAUAGGGAGAAGGCUUUCUCUCAUAAUGAGAGCCUUGGACAAAUUGAGAUCACAGGUUACUUGAUACAAUUGAUGCUUUUAUCACUUCCUGGCAGAAAAGGAGCUGGACUUCAAAAUCACGACAUCUGGGCCCUGGUCAGCUGAGCCAGGCAUUAGAGUCCUUCCACUGUGGUGGCCUGUUGGUCGGCCCAAUGGCACGGUCAGCGGCUGCUCUCAGGGGCUUGCUAAUGGGCAGUGCUCACCUUCCUCCAUAAGAUGGGAAGGGUAGGCAUCCUAAUUAGGAGUCUCUGGUCCCUUUCUGAGUGUCAGCAUGACCUAGUGAUGUAUUCAGAGAAGCUGCCAAGAGUGGAAGUGGAUUUAUUUAGUGAUGAUUGUCACCACUAGAAUCAGUACCUUUUUAAACUCCACCCUGUUUAUCUGAAUUCAGUUGUGUGUAUGGUUCUUGUUUUGAUGGAUGGCUCAGGCUCCCAUUGAAGCCAUCAGAGGCUCCCUCUGAUGAUGAGGGAGCAGACUAAAAAACCGUUACUAUCCACUGGAUACUUAGUGACUUAUAUAUAGCUCAAGUUGUUUGCAAAGCUUUGGGCACAAAUAAAAUUAAUAUAAUUAGGUCUUCAGAAGGAAAUGCAGGAUGGUAUUAAACUUUUCAGUGAGGCUAUCUUGUCGCUAACCUUGAACACUGACCUUUCCUUUGCUUUCUUCUUUGGUUUUUAGCAACUCUGCGUUAUUAUUGCUGAAGAGGGCUCAGAACACUAAAAUAGCUCUUUGUCAGUCAGCUUUACUAAUGAUAAUGAUGCCAGGGUUUGGUGUUCACCCUGUAGCCAUGCUGUGUUUGAGGCUGUAUGUAGUCUGAAGUUUUUACUCUGUCUUUUGGGUCUUUGUCUGCAAGGAGCCUGGGGUUGGACAUGGAUGGAUGGGUGGGUGGAUCUGGGAAGUGAAGAGACUUUACAGCACCUGACACAGCACAGUAGCCUCUGGACAGGGAUGCCUGGGCUCUCUGGAGGCUGAGCAGAGAUGAUUGGAAUUGGCAUUAGCAGGGUGUCUCUGGGGUGGCAGGGUCCUCUCCCCGAUUAAAGCAUCAUCUGUCACCCCUGCAGGUGUGCACACCUGAACAGGUUAGCAGGUGAGAAACACAUUAUUUGUAUGAGUUUUCAUUUAGUUGUCUGAUGGAAGUUUAAGGAACAUAUUAAAAAUAUGAAGGAUAUUCUUUUUCUUAAAAUUCAUUCUUUUGUAUUUAAUUUUUUUUGACAUACAACAAGCUGAACAUAAUUAAUGUAUACAGCUUGAUGAGUUUGGAGAUAAGCAUGCACCUAUGAAACCACCUCCACAAUUUAUGCCAUAAGCCUCUAAAAGUUUCCUCCUGCUGUCUGGUUAUUAUUAUUAUUAUUAUUGUGUGUCAUAAGGUCUACCCCUUAGCAGAUUUCUAAGUACACAGUAGAGUAGUGUUAACUGCAGGACCUCUGUGGCACAGCAGCCCUCUAGGACUCACUGAUUUGCAUAACUGAAACUUUGUACUUUUUGACAAAUACCUAAUUUCCCCUCCUCCCAACCCCACGCAACGCCAUUCCACCCUCUGUUGAAGGGUUUUCUUGUCUGUCUGUACUUGCAAUGCCCCACAGAGUACUUACUAAACCGCAUAUUGAUUAGAACGUCUUUGGCCCUCAGUGAUAGGAAACCCAAUUCAAGUAGUGCAGACUUGGAGGAAGUUCAUUAUCUGGCAUGGUUAGGAGUCCUCCUGUUGGAGGCCCCGGGCCUGAGUUGUUCAGAGGCUCUACACACCCUCUCAUUUGCUCCACCUUCCAUUCUGCCAUUCUCUGCGGACGGUCCUGCCCUUGUGGUUGUGUGUAGGUUGCAGCAGCUCCUUACAAAAUGCAAAUCAGUCAGCAUCCAGCAUGUCUUUCUUAUGUAUGUGUUUUGUUCUGUUGUGGCUGGGCAGAGUUACUUGGCCCCUUCCUUUUCCCAUCCCCACAAUAUUCCAGUAUUUUCUAAUGGGGCACUCAUUUUGGGUGGGGUUGGUGUUAGAUGGGUCCUGAAGAAUCGGAAUUUUCAGAUUGGAAGUCAAGCCAACGAUUGAAAUAUAAACAGACAUAAGAGCCUUCUUGCUAGCAUAUGGGGUUUUUUUAAGUCCUUUUUUUUUUUUUGAAACAUCUUAUGUUUGAGUAUUUUUUUAAAACUUUCCAACCUUAUUUUAUUUCUCCAGAUGAUGGUGGCAAUGUGAUAACCAGCACUUAGCAGGUGCUUGUUGUGUGGCAGCAUUGUUUUAAGUAAGCACAUGGUGUUUCAUCUGUGCAGCCUUCCCACCCCUGCCCCAGGCUCCGUGCUGCCCUCCUGUCCAUUUUGCAGAUGAGUGGACUGUGGCUCAGGAGACUGGGGCUUUCUCAAGAUUUUCUGCAGUCGGACCUAGCAUUCAAACCUCAGCAGAUUGACUUGCCAACCUAAAAUAAUGAAAGGGGUCAGAAUAUGAUUUAAAGAGCAUUUAAAUAAGUACAAAGUGUGAGGUAGGCCACCCAGAAACACCAACUCCGAAGAAAUGGAGUCAGUUUUCCGAAGUAGGAAGUGAAGGCUUCAUUUAUGUGGGCUGAGACAGUGGAGUUUUUAGCAGGAUUACAACAUUAUUCAUACAAGGUUGGUGUGUAUGUUAUAGCAAUUUGAUUGGCUCUAGGUGAUGUUUCUUUUUGGGGAGGGGAUAUUUAACAUUUUCUUAACAGAGGGUGUAAUAGUCCUGGGUUUUCUUUCACCUGGUCUAAGCGAAGCAGGGCAAUGAAGGGGGAGUUAAUCUACAACAAGGGUCAUUAAUUCAGAGGGCGGGAGGCUUUUGACCCUGACAUGGUUUCCCUUUAGUCAAUGUACAGAGCAAGAAAAAGAAGAAAAUGAGUUAUCUAUAAUCUGAGAAACAUAAAUUGUAACCAUAUGUGACUCAGAUCACAGUCACAUUUCUCUCAAAGCUUGAAGUGUUUUGGGGGGGGGUUCCAACAGCUUUUAGGUUUAUUUGUUUUCACAGACUUCAGAGUAUGUUCUUAAAGCCCCAAUGUGUGAAGUUUAUAUAAUCAUAGCAUUUUUCUCUUUGAGGUUCCAUCAUGGCCUGUCGUGGAGGGAGUUCCUGUUGCUGGUUCACGUUAUGCAUUUUGGUUAUUAAGAGACUGAGAAACUCCAUCAUGUUAUCCUAAGUAAUGUGUCUUUAUUAUAAAUAGAAUGUGGAAAUUUGGAAGAUGAGAAUUUUGGCUCAUGGAAUCCAGAAGUGGAUGAACAGGUUUGCGAACUGGAGGAUGGCUUAGAAAGGAACUGGCAAGGCUCACUGUGGCCUUGAGACCUGGUGGAAUGAGUCAGGGUCAUUGUCCUGCUGGGCUGAACCCCUGUCUCUCCCACCUCCUCCUGCCUUGCUAGGUAGCCUGCACUCACCCAGUCCUUUGUGGCAGGCUGGGCUCAGAAGGUCUCAGAGGAAGCUCAGCAGGUGGCUGGGAGAGAGCAGAGGCUGCCCUUAGGGACACUAGGUUAUUAGAGAGGCGAAAUCUACGGGGAAACAUCUUAGAACACAUGGAAAAGAAAACAAUAAUCACAAUUUUGGAUAAGCUUUUGCAUUUUGGCAACCAUGAAGGAUGGUAAGUAAAGAGGUCUAAUAUCGUAAGUCUUGAGCAGGGCAGGUAGCAGCUACGGUUGCCAUGAUGGAUCCCUCCAGGACAUGCCUUCCUCAGCAUGGUCUUUGUAAAUGUUGUCCCCUGAGUUGUGCAGUGCAAGCCUGUGCAGCUGAACAGGAGAGACUUGGGAGCAGCCCUGCUGUGCGGCUGCAAUCUGAAAGGAAAUGAUGCCUCGUUGCUAGGCCUAGGAAGAGGGUGAGUGUGUGUGUGUGUGUGUGUGUGUGUGUGUGUGUGU